UCAGACGGCUGGAUGGCUGCGCUUCGCGGGCAACCGCGGGGUGAGGAAAGUCCGGGCUCCACGGAGACACGGUGCCGGCUAACGGCCGGCGGGGGCGACCCCAGGGAAAGUGCCACAGAGAACAGACCGCCAAGCUGGUUCGCCAGCGAGGUAAGGGUGAAACGGUGGGGUAAGAGCCCACCGCGCGAGCGGUAACGCAAGCGGCACGGCAAACCCCACCGGGAGCAAGACCAAAUAGGGGCGGCACGCCGGGCAACCGGCAAGCGGUGUUUCCGCGCCGCCGCCCGGGUCGGUCGCGCGAGGCGCUCGGCAACGGGCGUCCCAGAGGAAUGGCCAUCCAUCGCUCGCCCAGGUUCGCUUGGGAGGGCGUGGACAGAACCCGGCUUACAGGCCGUCUGACCCU
rnacentral:RNase_P_RNA from 1 species